rnacentral:snRNA from 1 species
UCAGCUCUCUUUGCCUUUUGGCUUAGAUCAAGUAGAGUGAACUGUUCUUUUUAGUUUAAUCGCUAGAAGGUCCCUCCAGGGGCUACUCGAUUAACUUGAUUUUUGGAACCAGGACCAAGGCCGCUGAGCUCGCUCAUGUCUCGGACCACGGUGUCGCCAGUAUUGCACUGUCUCUGGCUGACGCAAAUUCUU